GGAAGGGUUGCAGCUCAGUGAUAGGGCACUUGCUUUGCAUGCAAAAGGUCACAGGGUUCAAUCCCCAGUACCUCCA
rnacentral:tRNA from 1 species